UGCUGACUGUCACUUUAUUGUAAUCUUGCUCUGCCAUUAUCAAUAUAAACUCUGAUCUGACCACAACUGUCCACGUUGAUUUUUCCACAACAAUUUGGUGCCGAAACCCGGGAUCUGAAAACGAUUGGAACGGAAUCAGGACAGGAACGGAGGACUGGAGACCAGAUUGGCGCCAUUCAAAAAAGGUGAGAACAUUUGUGUCUCUGUCUGCUCUCCCCUCCUCCGCUCCUAAGACCCUCCGUCCCACUAUCGUGAGUACAGAUCCCAAGAACCUGAACAGUUGUUUUAUGUUGUAAUAUCUGUUUGGAUAUGCAUGUGUGAGUGUAUGUAGAUGCUGGCACAUUGCCACAUCAGCACGAGAGAGGCCCUUUAUGGCUGAAUGAUUGUGCUGCCCCAAACAUGCUGGGGGCAGUGGAAUAAAAAGUAAGAGGACCCUAUCGUCCUCAGACACGAAUGUUUCCUAUCUUCUCAGUCUGUCACGUAAACUGUCAUUAACAUUGUCUGCAUAGUGGAAGGACAAAUAUAAGGAUAAGUGUUGGUGAAGAGUAGUUUCUCUGCUGGUCUACCCUUGCUUGUCAAUACCGGUCUGUGGGCAACUGAUUGUGGCUCUCCCCACAGAACAGGAGCGAUAUAAUCUCUGAUUACCUCCUGGCCUGCUAUCUGACAGCUCUGUGUACACUGGUUUGAGUCUGCUUCUCGCUACACUGAAGGGCGUGUCCUGAAGCUGCAGACUGGCGUCUCUCUGUGUCUCAUGAAAAAUCAUACUUCUUACUUAGAUAAUCCCUUACUUGCAUGGUUUAACCUAGAGGACAUUAGAGGGCAAAUAUUGUUUGGCAUCUUCGCCUUGCUGAUUUUCAUUUGGCUCUGUUGGAAAAUUUGGAGGGACCAAAAGCGGGGAUUCGCUGUGUGGGACUUCCCCUAACAGCCAAUAGCCAUAGAAUAUAGUGCUGUGAAACACUGAGAGAGGGGUGCAAGAGUCCCCUCCACCAUAGCAGGGCUAUGGGAAACAGUCACAGCAAACGUGGAUUUGGCUGAUCACCAAAUCAGAGUAAUGGACGUCCUGAGACUCCUCGUACCCCACAGGAGGAGAUGAGUAAGAAAUAUGGCAAAUGGGUCAGCCGGCAUUUACCUAAGUGAGGCAGACUGACUAGGGGGAUGGAUUGUGGGAUCCCAAAAGAGGGAACCUUUGAAUUAUCCCGCUGGGCAACCCUCUACAAAAAAUAAAACAAAAUUCACUGAGCCAAAUGAAUAGGCAGCUUGGAGUAGGUGGAUGGUAGAAUCUUAUAAAAGACAGCAAAAAGCCCAAAGUAUUUUUUUUACAUCAGAAACAAGAACAGGAAGGGCAAAUCAGCAAGGAGGGGAGGUACAGUCAGAUGAGAAAGAGGGGGAGGAAGGAUUUUGUGUGGAGUGGAAGGUGAGCUUGUCAUCACUCCUAAAAUAACCCAAGGUGAGAGAGAUGAAAGGGCUGAGGAAUAUCGCUUGCCUCAAGCCUCAGCCUAACUUGUUAGAGAGCAGGUCAUGCCUGGUACAAGUGAGUUUAGCCAGCUGAAGACAGAGAAAUAUACAGGAGGUACAGAAGAAAAUGGUCCAGAGGGUGAUGGUAGUUGACACACCUGGUAACCCCCAGAGGGGUAAGUUUAGGGGGAGGAACAAUUGGGAGUCCAGAAAUGUGAAGUGCUACAAUUGUGUGAAACAGGGCCACAUUGCAAGAAAUUGUCCAGCUCCAAAAAGGGGGACAGGAUAGCGCCUGACAGGGAGGGCUUCCAGUGUUACCAGUCAUCUUGGUGUUAUGAGCCACAGCAGUGGUUCAUUCCUGUUUGCAUUCGGUUCAUGUAUUGUAUGUUAUAUUUCUGUUUGCAUGUCAGGAUUUCUUAUGUACUUUAGAGUGCUAUACUUUUGGUUACUAAUCUGGUAACUACAGUGACAUAUUUUGUGGGUCUUCCCACUAGCUGCAUUCGGUUCAUGUAUUUUAGGAUAUAUUUCUGUUUGCAUGCCAGGAUUUCUUAUGUACUUAUUUAGAGUGCUAUACUUUUGUUUACUAGCCUGGUAACUACAGUGUCAUAUUUUGUGGGUCUUCCCACUAGCCUUAGUUUUGUGUUUUUGUACUGGCGGCAGCGCCGCACAUAACUUGUUUGUUUAGUUCUCAUGUUAUAGUCACCUUAGCUGUAGCUAGUUUUCCCCUCACUCGCAGUCUCAGGUGGUGCCUUGUAACCUUGUAAGACUGGAGGGCAUCGGAGUUUGGGCGAACCUAAUUCGCCCAUUCAAACGCGGCUGCCUUGGGCAGAAGACUAGCACCUCAGGCACCAUCUGACCACUGGGAGGAGUAAUGGUUAUAGGGUUAGAAAAGGUCUUGCUGCGGCCAUUCAUACUGACCGCAGCUUCACUCAUGAGUACUGGAAUUCCCCAGUUGUCACACAUUCCACAGAGCUCCAGGGUCUCAAUUUGUAACAUUGUACUCGUUUCCUAACACUCGGAGAGUAGGGGGGUGAUGCCGUUGUCCACUUGACCCUCUCUGAAAUGCCUUUUUACUCAGUGGAGUAUCUGGUGGACAGUGGAGCAGCCCGUGUUCUCAAGAGAGAGAGUAUGUCAAUGGAUACUCUAAUUACCCUGCAAAAUCAGGCAGGUCCCCAAACACUUGGUAAAUGGGGGAAGGCAGGUUGCAAAUAAAUAAAUAUUGUUUGGAAACAUGAGGAUGGUCGAUUGAGUGCACAUCUCCCUUCAUAUGUUUCCAAAGGGGGAAUGAUUGCUAUGAUUGCUAUAUUUUGGUUUGCACAGUGUUUGAAAUACUUUAUAACAGAAUGGUUAUGUUCUCCUUGUAGAUAGAGGCGUGGCCUGUUGCCAAGGUAACGGCUGCAGUAACAGCAAAGAAAUUGAUAUCUGAAUUUGUGUGCAGGUAUGGCCUACAUGAAACGGUUGAGAGAGCAAAUAGCGUAUUAAAAAUGUCUAAGAUCUGUGAGCAAACAAAACUUACAUGGGUACAAGCUUUACUAGUAGAUCCUUUUGCAAUGAGGUAUACCACAAAGGGAUAACAUGGACUUUCAUCAUUUGAGAUACUGUUUGGCAGGCUGCCACUCAAAGUACGCUUCUCUUACUGACUACGUUGUUCAGCUUCAUAAGCCACUGACUAAUUUGCAUGGCAAAGUGUUUUCUUCUUUACCAGAUCCACAAGACACAUCUGGAACCCCGAUUUGAUGGCCCAUACCAGGUGCUAUUGACCACAGUGACCUCCGUCAAGGUGGAGAGGAAAGUAUGCUUUGCACUGUAAGAAAAUUAACUUUCAGGUCAAUGAUGCAAACUGGUCCUAAAAGCAUGGGGCCCCCGGGGAGAAGAGAACUGAAUGGACUGUUAAGAUACGCUUGUUUUUCUGCCUGCUUGUUUGUGCUUUAUAUCAGUGUGUGCAGGUGAAAGGAGAACAGCAAAAGAACUCUAUAUGGCUUCUACAUCAGCAGACCGCUAAGGAGCUGAACGCCACUGACUGUUGGAUCUGUUCUUAUGUUCCUGCUAACCAUAAAGGAAUCCCUUUGAUUGGUAUCCCUAUCUCGAUGAAUGAUCUUAACCUCACAGAUUAUAGCUAUAAUGUUGAAAUAGACAUAAAUCACACUGCUCACAAUGCUCUUUCAGACCUAGGAAUAUAUUUAGAAAUUGCUGGUAUAAUCUCUCCACCCACUAUGUGCAUAGGGCCUAUGUUUAUUAACCACGUGGCUGAACUAAAAGGUCACCUAGUCAACUUACCUAAGGUAUAUGUUGGAGAAACAAAUUGUAAAAAUGCUGCCUUAGUGUUUAACAUGGAAUACAAUGAAAAGUUAUGUGACAAGGUGAACGGUAACUGUAACAAUCAAUGUUGGUGUGCAAAUAUGAAAGCUCUUUGUGCCCCUAGGUGUGCCUCUCCUAACCAGACGGAUGAGGAUGAUUGGGAUUGUAAGACCCAAGUGCACAAUAAUAUGGAAAAAUGUGGAUUCGCUCGCCUAAUAGGAAGAAUGAUAACAGCCACAGAGAUGACCGUCUGAUGGCCCAGCCCAACUGCCCAUCUCUUCUGAGAGACCCCUCAGUUGUUGUAAGAGUUGGGUGGAAGACAUCAUCUCUGAAAGAGGGUCCCGCAGGUGCACUUCGACAGUUUGGACACCACCCCAGAGGGAGUUUAUCCCGAGAAGUGAUUUCGACGAGUCAGUCAUUCCGAUUCCAGCGAAUUCACCGAGUGGUCUCUGUGCCCUAGUGCACCUCUGGCUGCUGUUACUAUUCUUACAGCUAGAUAGAUAGGUGUGUGAAUGCUUCAAUAAAGGUGUGUGAAUGCUUAGCAGAAUAGCAACCGCGAGGCAGUACUUAGUCAGUUCUUCCUCUUGCAUACAUCCUGUCUCAAUUGGUACUUUGUCACAUAAUAAAACCUGGGGGCAUCAGAGUACUGGGUGGACCUAAUUCGCCCGGGAAAAGCGGCUGCUAAAGGACAAGACUUUGACCUGCAGGUGCCAAUUGACUGCGGGGUGUGGCAACAGAGUCAGGGUAGGCCCAGGUGCGUCUGUGGCUAUAUCAUCCCCAGUCACAGUCACACCACCCUCUUAGCAUUAGUAGUACUGCCAUUGUUACCUUUUAGUUUAUGUUUUUAUAUAUGUGUGAUAAUAAAUUUAUCAAAAGGGUGAGAAUUGUUAAGGAAAUUUAAGCAAUGUAUAGAAUCUAUUCUGACUUUUUAAUAUCAUGUAAUACGUAACAGACAUUAUUAUGUAAGAUGUUUUGCUGACAAAGAAUGUAGGUACGUGACAAGAACUUGCUAAGUCACCCUAGUCUUGCUUAUUUGUGUUAUGUGCCCACCCAGGACCAGAUGGUGUUCGAUAAGGAGGAAUGGGCCUCAAGGCCUGCUGUGAUUGGUCCAAGCUUGGGUGGAGUAAUUCUUUGUAAAAUGCAAUAUUAGGGGCCAUCUAUGCAAUGUUCGGGAGGCAGAUGGAGCUCCCUUGUAAUUACUUGUAAGUGCAUGCUGACUGUCACUUUAUUGUAAUCUUGCUCUGCCAUUAUCAAUAUAAACUCUGAUCUGACCACAA